AUGCUUCAUCCCCGGUGCCGUUCAAUCCCAGGUCGUUUUCCCUUUCAGCUGCAAUGCCGGGAUUUUAAAUAGCAGAGAUGAAAGGCCCCUGCCCCCGCCUCCCUCCUCCCCUGAGUUCAUGUAUUAUGAAUGAAACGGCAGCCUCGCUGCUUCCUGAGGUGCUCCACUUCAGGCUGGGGUGCAAUGGCUCGAUCUCGGCUCAGUGCAACCUCUGCUUCCCGGGUUCAAGUGAUUCUCCUGCGUCAGCCUCCCAAGCAGCUGUGAAUACAGGUUGGAGUGCAGUGGUGCUGUGUCUGGAGUUUGUUCCUGCCGUUGGGUUUGUGGUCUUGCUGACUUCAAGAAUGAAGCCACGGACCUUCACGAGAAAUAUUACGUUGUAUGGAUGUACCACUGUUUGUUUAUCCAUUCUUCAGGUGAAGGACAUGUGGGUUGUGCCCAGCGCGGGCUGAAUAAAGAUACACACACAGGCACAUUGGAAACGCAGUAGAAAAUGGCUGCCAAUUUAAAACCAGAAGUUAAGAAGAGCAAACUCGAAUGUACAGCAAGAGAGCUUCAGGCUGGACUGGCUUCCAGCAGAAGUGGGACUGGAAACCUCGGAUUCUAUUGUCUCUUCUCUGUGAAGUGGGAAAACAUAUUGCUGAGUUGAGUAAAUAUUUCCUUCCAUAAAGGUGAAGCCUUGAUGACUGUGGUUUGAAUUCACUGGGAAAAGUGGAAUCGUCAAGAGACCCGGGCUAACUAAAUCCCUCUGGGAGCCUCAGCAGCUGAGGCCAUCACUCAAAAUUAAGGCUCAACUCAGCUGUACUUCUCACCACGUGGCAAAGGAUGGACCAAAGGCUGGGAGCAACUGGGAGUGUCUGGGAACACUUUCUGGUUGUCACAGUGAUCAGCAGCCAGGAGCAGCCUGCAAUGUGAAGACAGUCCUGUGGGACAGUCCUAGGCUACAGGGAACUGUCCUGCAUCCUGCAUGUCUUAUAAACAUCCUACUGGACGUCGAUGUUUGACUGUGCCCCAAGGAAGCCACACAAACUGUGUAGCCAGACAGUCUGUCUGGGAGGAGAAGGAAGGAAUUUAUCUACCAGCUCCCAUCUCUCAUGGACCAAAUUCUUCCCCACUGUACAUAACUCCAUAUCACUUUCAGAUUGCAUAAGGGUGAGAGCUGAAUGUAGGCUCCAACAGGAAGACGGCAUUGAAGCCUGGUUGCUUGUUACUACUCAGAAUGCCAUCUACAAAAGGAAAUUAUGUAAAAAGCAAUAAAGAACCCCUUUUGUUCUUGCAGGA
rnacentral:lncRNA from 1 species